rnacentral:rRNA from 1 species
UACGGAAGGGGCAAGCGUUGUUCGGAAUCAUUGGGCGUAAAGGGCGCGUAGGUGGUUCUGUAUGUCUACCGUGAAAGCGUACGGCUCAACCGUAUUUUGUCGGUGGAAACUGCAGGACUUGAGGCUGGGAGGGGCUGGUGGAAUUCCCUGUGUAGCGGUGAAAUGCGUAGAUAUUGGGAGGAACACCGGUGGCGAAGGCGGCCCCCUGGACCGGUACUGACGCUGAGGCGCGAAAGCGUGGGUAGCAAACGGG